rnacentral:lncRNA from 1 species
GAUAUCGUUGCAUCUAACAUAGCCUUUUAGGAUUUUGCACAUCUUAAUAUUUUGAAUGCAUUAUUAUUCACUUCAUUAUGUAAGAAAAAAAAGUAAAAAAAAAAUUAAUUAUAUGCAAUGCACAUAUUUUUGACUUUAUAUAACUAACAAAACAUAAAAAAAGUCAAAAUGCUACUGGUUGUGAUUAAAUUAUUGGUAUGGUAUUCAUGUAUUUUUAAGAAUAUAUGUAUGAACUAACCAAUUUUUUUUUGGCCUUAAAAACCAGAAUCGAAGCAAAACAAAAUUGGACUAAAACGCUUUUCGGAUAUUAGCCGGUUCCCA